rnacentral:rRNA from 1 species
ACAGCAGCCGCCACGGGAAUACGAAGGGGGCUAGCGUUGUUCGGAAUUACUGGGCGUAAAGCGCACGUAGGCGGAUCGAUCAGUCAGGGGUGAAAUCCCAGGGCUCAACCCUGGAACUGCCUUUGAUACUGUCGACCUGGAGUAUGGAAGAGGUGAGUGGAAUUCCGAGUGUAGAGGUGAAAUUCGUAGAUAUUCGGAGGAACACCAGUGGCGAAGGCGGCUCACUGGUCCAUUACUGACGCUGAGGUGCGAAAGCGUGGGGAGCAAACAGGAUUAGAGACCCCGGUAGUCCCUGUCUCUUAUAC